rnacentral:rRNA from 1 species
GACGAACGCUGGCGGCGUGCUUAACACAUGCAAGUCGAACUAAGUGGCGAACGGGUGAGUAACGCGUAAUCAACCUGCCCUUCAGAUGGGGACAACAGUUGGAAACGCAUGCUACUACCGCCUCAUGCAGGCGGGGAUUGCGUCUGAUUAGCUAGUUGGAGGGGUAAAGGCCCACCAAGGGGAUGAUCAGUAGCCGGUCUGAGAGUAUGAACGGCCACAUUGGGACUGAGACACGGCCCAGACGCCUACGGGAGGCAGCAGUGGGGAAUCUUCCGCAAUGGACGAAAGUCUGACGGAGCAACGCCGCGUGAGUGAUGACGGCCUUCGGGUUGUAAAGCUCUGUUAAUCGGGACGCGGUACCGGAAUAGAAAGCCACGGCUAACUACGUGCCAGCAGCGCGGUAAUAC